rnacentral:rRNA from 1 species
GGGACUGUAGGCAAAUCCGCAGACCUAGUCGAACCUGAUAGUACCACAAAGCUUCGGCUGCGUGGAUAGUGUUCCUAAGCGCUUCCAAGAAAAACCUCUAAGCUUCAGGUUAUACCAACUCGUACCGCAAACCAACACAGGUAGUCAAGUAGAGAAUACUGAGGUGCUCGAGUGAUUCAUGGCUAAGGAACUAGGCAAAAUGGUCUCGUAACUUCG